rnacentral:rRNA from 1 species
AGCCUACUCCUAGCCCCAAUAAAAACGACUAAACCACCCCACCACAUUAAACUAAAACAUUUUAUCAACCGAGUAUAGGCGAUAGAAAGGAACCUAAGGGCGCUAUAGAGAAAUGUACCGCAAGGGAAAGAUGAAAUAACAAUGAAACCUGAAGCACAAAACAGCAAAGACAAACCCUUGUACCUUUUGUAUCAUGAUUUAGCAAGAACAACCAAGCAAAGUGAGCUUAAGCUUGCCCUCCCGAAACCCGAGCGAGCUACCUGCAAGCAGCUACCCCUGAGCGAACCCGUCUCUGUUGCAAAAGAGUGGGACGACUUGCUAGUAGUGGUGAAAAUCCUACCGAGCCGGGUGAUAGCUGGUUACCUGUGAAAAGAAUCUAAGUUCCACCUUAAUCCAUUCCCUCCCGGACAACAACCCACCAUGAAAGGAUUAAGAGUACUUUAAAGGGGGUACAGCCCCUUUAAAAAAGGACACAACCUCCCCUAGAGGAUAAUACCGGUGUACACAGAACAGUGGGCCUUCAAGCAGCCAUCAAUAAAGAGUGCGUCAAAGCUCAACAUCUUGAGAUACAUAAACACCACGACUCCCUAACCCUUAACAGGUCAACCUAUCAUUAAUAUAGGAGAAUCAAUGCUAAAAUGAGUAACCCAGGGAACCCCCCCUCUGAAGCGCAAGCUUACAUCACGCCAUUGUUAACAGCCCGAAAUCAAGCCCACUCAUCAACAAGAACAACAUAUUAACUCCCCUGUUAACCCUACCAAGGAGCGCCUGCUAGAAAGAUUAAAAUCUACAAAAGGAACUAGGCAAACCCAAGGCCCGACUGUUUACCAAAAACAUAGCCUUCAGCAAGCCAAGUAUUGAAGGUGACGCCUGCCCAGUGACAAAGUUUAACGGCCGCGGUAUCCUAACCGUGCGAAGGUAGCGCAAUCAAUUGUCCCAUAAAUCGGGACCUGUAUGAACGGCCAAACGAGGUCUUGACUGUCUCUUGUAGAUAAUCAGUGAAAUUGAUCUCUCCGUGAAAAAGCAGAGAUAUAACCAUAAGACGAGAAGACCCUGUGGAACUUCAAAAUCAGCGGUCACCACCCCCCCCCCCCCCCCCCCCCCCCCACCAACCCGCAUGGGCCACUACAUCCGUGCAUGCUUGAUCGCCAUUUUUUGGUUGGGGCGACCUUGGAGUAAAAUGAACCCUCCAAACCUAAGACCAAAUCUCUUUACCAAGAACAUCACCUCAACGUGCUAACAGCAACCAGAUCCAAUAAAUUGAGCAUUGAACCAAGCUACCCCAGGGAUAACAGCGCAAUCUCCUCCAAGAGCCCAUAUCGACGAGGAGGCUUACGACCUCGAUGUUGGAUCAGGACAUCCUAAUGGUGCAGCCGCUAUUAAGGGUUCGUUUGUUCAACGAUUAACAGUCCUACGUGAUCUGAGUUCAGACCGGAGCAAUCCAGGUCGGUUUCUAUCUAUGACAGGCCCUUCCCAGUACGAAAGGACCGGAAGGACAGGGCCACUGCCACCCAGCACGCCCUCACCUUACGCAGUGAACCCAACUCAACCGCACAAAGACUUAUUUCGCCCGAGAAAAGGGCA